UNANCCNUUCCCUUAGUGAACCUGCGGAAGGAUCAUUACCUAGAGUUGCGGGCUUUGCCUGCUAUCUCUUACCCAUGUCUUUUGAGUACCUUCGUUUCCUCGGCGGGUUCGCCCGCCGAUUGGACAAUUUAAACCAUUUGCAGUUGCAAUCAGCGUCUGAAAAAACUUAAUAGUUACAACUUUCAACAACGGAUCUCUUGGUUCUGGCAUCGAUGAAGAACGCAGCGAAAUGCGAUAAGUAGUGUGAAUUGCAGAAUUCAGUGAAUCAUCGAAUCUUUGAACGCACAUUGCGCCCCUUGGUAUUCCAUGGGGCAUGCCUGUUCGAGCGUCAUUUGUACCUUCCAGCCUUCCUGCUUGGUGUUGGGUGUUUGUCUCGCCUCUGCGCGCAGACUCGCCUCAAAACAAUUGGCAGCCGGCGUAUUGAUUUCGGAGCGCAGUACAUCUCGCGCUUUGCACUCAUAACGACGACGUCCAAAAGUACAUUUUUACACUCUUGACCUCGAUCAGGUAGGAUACCCCCGA
rnacentral:rRNA from 1 species